GACGAACCGUGCGAACGUUGUUCGGAUUCACUGGGCUUAAAGGGCGCGUAGGCGGCGGCUCAAGUCGGGGGUGAAAUCCUCUCGCUUAACGAGAGAAUUGCUUUCGAUACUGGGUCGCUGGAGGGAGAUAGGGGUGGCGCGGAACUUCCGGUGGAGCGGUGAAAUGCGUAGAUAUCGGAAGGAACGCCGGUGGCGAAAGCGGCGCACUGGAUCUCUUCUGACGCUGAGGCGCGAAAGCCAGGGGAGCAAAGCGGG
rnacentral:rRNA from 1 species